AUUGAACGCUGGCGGCAGGCCUAACACAUGCAAGUCGAGCGGCAGCGACUUAACUGAACCUUCGGGGAACGUUAAGGGCGGCGAGCGGCGGACGGGUGAGUAAUGCCUGGGAAUAUACCCUGAUGUGGGGGAUAACUAUUGGAAACGAUAGCUAAUACCGCAUAAUCUCUUCGGAGCAAAGAGGGGGACCUUCGGGCCUCUCGCGUCAGGAUUAGCCCAGGUGGGAUUAGCUUGUUGGUGAGGUAAUGGCUCACCAAGGCAACGAUCCCUAGCUGGUCUGAGAGGAUGAUCAGCCACACUGGAACUGAGACACGGUCCAGACUCCUACGGGAGGCAGCAGUGGGGAAUAUUGCACAAUGGGGGAAACCCUGAUGCAGCCAUGCCGCGUGUGUGAAGAAGGCCUUCGGGUUGUAAAGCACUUUCAGUAGGGAGGAAGGUAGUGUAGUUAACACCUGCAUUAUUUGACGUUACCUACAGAAGAAGCACCGGCUAACUCCGUGCCAGCAGCCGCGGUAAUACGGAGGGUGCGAGCGUUAAUCGGAAUUACUGGGCGUAAAGCGCAUGCAGGCGGCCUGUUAAGUCAGAUGUGAAAGCCCGGGGCUUAACCUCGGAAUUGCAUUUGAAACUGGCAGGCUAGAGUCUUGUAGAGGGGGGUAGAAUUUCAGGUGUAGCGGUGAAAUGCGUAGAGAUCUGAAGGAAUACCAGUGGCGAAGGCGGCCCCCUGGACAAAGACUGACGCUCAGAUGCGAAAGCGUGGGGAGCAAACAGG
rnacentral:rRNA from 1 species